rnacentral:sRNA from 1 species
UGGCUCCAGUCCGACAAGAUCUGGACGAGGUUGUUGCAAGAUUAGCCUUAAAGAUUAGAAUUUGGGUGACCUCUUCGUCGCGUGCUUCAUGUACUCUGGUCAGUGCGAGAGUGCAAUAAGUCGGCCCUCGGUUCAUCGCGCUAUUUCGUCCUUCAGAUUGAGGACAGUCGCGGAAAGCAUGCCUUCAUCGGACUAGAGUUCAAUGAGAGGAACGAGGCCUUCGACUUCAACGUCGCGCUCUCCUACCACGGAAUGUAGGUCCGCCACGAGCACGAGAAGGAAUCCAGUGACUCUGCAACCGUCGAAGAGUCUCGGAUCGACAUUCACCCUGCCGUAACCACAUGCUCAAGGAAUGUUCGUAAGCAAUGGUUGACUGAAGUUCACUUUCUUGGCAUUCUGGAACACCCAAAUCUCGUCAAGCUUAUUUGAUACUGUGCUUUGGAUGACGAAAGAGGCAUCCAGAGAGAUUACUCGUGUAUGAAUACGUGCCGAACAAAAUCUUAGAGUUUCAUGUUUUCAAUAAAGCUUAUGAUCCUCUUCUUUGGAAAACUAGACAUGAAAUAGCCCUUGGAGUAGCUCAACGGUUAACUUAUCUUCAUGAAGAAUUAGAACUUCAGGUAUUACUGGAUGAAGAUGUGCCAAAGCUUUUUUAUUUUGGACUUGCUAGGGAGGGGCCAGCAGCCGGUGAUACUAAUGUUUAUCUUAUAUUUUUUAUAUGUACAGGGUAUAAAAGGAUACUACAAUAAUUUUAUUAAACCUCAGGCGUGUAUCCCAA